CUAAAACACCUAAACACUGACGUGGAUGUGUACGCGUGUCGCCCGCCCGCCGCCGCCGGCACGACUGGUUGACCAAUCAUCGCACAGCGGCGGAGGACAGUUCUCUUUUGUCGGCUACUUCAUGUUCUUAUACGUUGCUCACUUCGUUUCAAACUGCAGCGCGCCUUCCACAUUUUUCUUCCUUCUAUUAAUUUCGAAACAACUGUUUUUCUCAAUUGACAAUUCGACUAAUUCAUACUUUCAUACUUUGGAGAUACCGGAGAAAAAUAUUUCAACAAAAUAAGUGUGUUUAUCAAAAGAGUUCGACUCUCAAAAAACAGUAAAAUUCAGAACUCCCAAUGUGUUUUCAAGUGUGCCAGAAGAAAGUGAAGAAAUGAAUAAACAAUUUGGAGAAACAAUAAAAUGAAAGAUUAAAUUUCCAUGAAAAUAACAAAUUCAAAUUAUUACAACUUUACAGAUGACUUGCUUUCCUCAUUGAAUAAAUGGGAAGCCUCACCUUAAGAAAAAGGCGAAAAAGGAUUCCCGAUUUUUUUUCGAGAAAUUCCAAAGCCAGCAGACCCCAGGGCUGUCAAUAUACUUGUCCCGAGACCCUACGGAGUCUCUCGUUCCAUGGGCUUCAGAAUGAAAAUUUUCCAACUUUUCUUGACUAGAGAUAGUGUGAUGAAAAUUUACUUUAUCCGAAAGAAGGCAAAGGAUUUUUGUUCGAAGCAGAUCGACGUUAUCGGUUACCGGCAAGAAAAAGGAACCGGUAGAUGGGCGCUUUUCGUCAAUGGGGCGCGACGAAUUGAGGAACUAAUCAAGGCAUGGGGAUAUGGAAGCACGUCGGGGAAACGUAGAGCUGCAGUUGAAUUCGAUCCACGUCGACAAUACCUCCUUAAGCUCGGCCAAAUAAUUUACGUUUUUGCAAUUUUUAUUGAUUAGAUCACUCGGUGGUCGUUACCAAACCCAGCGAGAAAAAAAUAUCUCACGAGUAUAAAAUUUGGAAAUCCGUCAGGUCAAGAAUUCCUCUCCGCAGAAUUUGUUAAAGCGUUGUUUGCUUAUGUAUCCUCGAGCUGUAAAAACAGGGCUUUUGUUCCAAGUGACUGAAAGUUAAAUUUUGAAUUGAAGCACAACUUUAAUCCGAAUCUUAAAUCUUAAGCUUAAAUGCAUAAAAAUAUGAAAAACAAUGGAAAAUAGUCUUAGGAUCUCAUAGCUUAAGUUGAGCCAUGUAAUUUGGCAAUUUGUCAUAGACCGGCUACCUUAAUGAAAAUAAAUAAAUAUCUAUUUCCAUUUCA